rnacentral:misc_RNA from 1 species
GAUGAAGAACGUAGCGAAAUGCGAUAAGUAAUGUGAAUUGCAGAAUUCCGUGAAUCAUCGAAUCUUUGAACGCACAUUGCGCCCCCUGGCAUUCCGGGGGGCAUGCCUGUCCGAGCGUCAUUUCUGCCCUCAAGCCCGGCUUGUGUGUUGGGCGUGGUCCCCCCGGUUUAGGGGGGACCUGCCCGAAAGGCAGCGGCGACGUUCCGCCUAGGUCCUCGAGCGUAUGGGGCUUUGUCACCCGCUCUGUAGGCCCGGCAGGCGCCCGCCGGCGACCCCAAUCAAUCUUUUUCAGGUUGACCUCGGAUCAGGUAGGGAUACCCGCUGAACUUAAGCAUAUCAAUAAGCGGAGGA